AUGCCGGCUCCGGGGCGCCCGGGCAGGGUAAGGCAUCGCCCUCCCUGCAAAGCCGGGAGACCCCCCCCCCCAGGCUGGGAUUUUGGGCAAAUUCUCCCUUCUCCUGCUGCUUUUGCCGCUCUGCAAUUCCAGCCUUUCCGGGUUCGCUCCUCCGCGGCAGCCGCUCGCUUUAGCUCCUUUCCAAGCUGUUAUUUUUCUCCCCCCGCUCUUGUUUUUGCAAAGGGGGUACAAAGCCACAGCCCCCCCACGAGCGGCGGCGGACGGGGGCGUCCUCGCCUCAUCCCGGCCAGGGCAUCUCCCACCCCUCGCCACGGAGGGCCCGGAGCGGCCGCCGGUCCACCCGGCUCCCUGCUUUCCCCGCGGCUUGGACCCGCCAUCUCUUCCCGACCGCUGGCUCUUCCACUCCGACACACUCCCUACGAUUCCCUCCAGUGCAGAGGACGGCAAACUCGUGCCGCUUGUGACUCAGCAGCGCCCGGAGCCACAGCCGGCGAACACGGACCACGGCGUCAAGCCUCCUCGCUCGAGGUCUCCCUUCGCCUCCGGCAGGGCUGGCGAGCGCCGGAGCCGCGGCGCAGAGGGAUUCCUCCCGUUGCGGCUCCCGCUCUCCGCUCCGAUCCAAGGAGCGGAGCCCCUUCCCUCGAGAGGAAGGAGCAGGGGGAAAAAUAUAUAAGGGUUUUUUUGGUUUUGGGCCCCUCGGUGAGGGCACGUGGGCGCCCAGAGCCGAGCACGGCUGCAGGCGCGUGCAGCACCGUGCACCGUGGUGCCGAGCACAGUCCCGUGGCCAGCACAACCUCGGCUCUGCCGCCGGAUGGGAAAGCCCACGGGGGCCGCUCGUACGGAGAAGGGCUUCCCACGCCCACCGUGGCAGCAAAACCCUUCCCUCCUUCCCACCCGUGGAAAUACAGCCGGGAACGAGCAGCACUGGAGAGUCCUCGGAAGGACAAACCAGCCGGCUGGCCACAAGCCCACGGCCACCUCCUUCCCCCCCUCCAAAAUAAGCUGGAAAGCCUCCUGCAUCCACUCGGCCUCCCGCGCUCCUGCUGGCGUUGA
rnacentral:lncRNA from 1 species